rnacentral:rRNA from 1 species
UGAGUAACCUGCCCUUAAACUCUGGGAUAAGCCUGGGAAACUGGGUCUAAUACCGGAUAUGACUCCUCAUCGCAUGGUGGGGGGUGGAAAGCUUUAUUGUGGUUUUGGAUGGACUCGCGGCCUAUCAGCUUGUUGGUGAGGUAAUGGCUUACCAAGGCGACGACGGGUAGCCGGCCUGAGAGGGUGACCGGCCACACUGGGACUGAGACACGGCCCAGACUCCUACGGGAGGCAG